rnacentral:rRNA from 1 species
UAGGGAAUCUUCGGCAAUGGGGGCAACCCUGACCGAGCAACGCCGCGUGAGUGAAGAAGGUUUUCGGAUCGUAAAGCUCUGUUGUAAGAGAAGAACGAGUGUGAGAGUGGAAAGUUCACACUGCGACGGUAACUUACCAGAAAGGGACGGCUAACUACGUGCCAGCAGCCGCGGUAAUACGUAGGUCCCGAGCGUUAUCCGGAUUUAUUGGGCGUAAAGCGAGCGCAGGCGGUUAGAUAAGUCUGAAGUUAAAGGCUGUGGCUUAACCAUAGUACGCUUUGGAAACCGUUUAACUUGAGUGCAGAAGGGGAGAGUGGAAUUCCAUGUGUAGCGGUGAAAUGCGUAGAUAUAUGGAGGAACACCGGUGGCGAAAGCGGCUCUCUGGUCUGUAACUGACGCUGAGGCUCGAAAGCGUGGGGAGCAAACAGGAUUAGAUACCCUGGUAGUCCACGCCGUACGAUGAGUGCUAAGUGUUGGAGGGUUUCCGCCCUUCAGUGCUGCAGUUAACGCAUUACACUCCGCCUGGGGAGUACGACCGCAGGUU